rnacentral:rRNA from 1 species
AUUGAACGCUGGCGGCAGGCCUAACACAUGCAAGUCGAACGAGUGGCGGACGGGUGAGUAAUGUCUGGGAAACUGCCUGAUGGAGGGGGAUAACUACUGGAAACGGUAGCUAAUAUCGCAUACUAUCGGAUGAACCCAUAUGGGAUUAGCUAGUAGGUGGGGUAAAGGCUCACCUAGGCGACGAUCUCUAGCUGGUCUGAGAGGAUGAUCAGCCACACGGGGACUGAGACACGGCCCAGACUCCUACGGGAGGCAGCAGUGGGGAAUAUUGCACAAUGGGCGCAAGCCUGAUGCAGCCAUGCCGCGUGUAUGAAGAAGGCCUUCGGGUUGUAAAGUACUUUCAGAGGGGAGGCGUUACCCGCAGAAGAAGCACCGGCUAACUCCGUGCCAGCAGCCGCGGUAAUAC